CCUACGGGUGGCAGCAGUGAGGAAUAUUGGUCAAUGGGCGCGAGCCUGAACCAGCCAAGUCGCGUGAGGGAAGCCGGUCCUAUGGAUUGUAAACCUCUUUUGUCAGGGAGCAAAGUCAACCACGUGUGGGUGUUGGAGAGUACCUGAAGAAAAAGCAUCGGCUAACUCCGUGCCAGCAGACGCGGUAAUACGGAGGAUGCGAGUGUUAUCCGGAUGUAUUGGGUUUAACGGGUGCGUAGGCGGGUUAUCAAGUCAGCGGUAAAAUCGUGGAGCUCAACUCCAUCCAGCCGUUGAAACUGAUGAUCUUGAGUGGGCGGGAAGUAUGCGGAAGGCGUGGUGGAGCGGUGAAAUGCAUAGAUAUCACGCAGAACUCCGAUUGCGAAGGCAGCAUACCGGCGCCCGACUGACGCUGAAGCACGAAAGCGUGGGUAUCGAACAGGAUUAGAUACCCCAGUAGUC
rnacentral:rRNA from 1 species